rnacentral:tRNA from 1 species
GCCUCGAUAGCUCAGUUGGUAGAGCAGUAGACUGAAAAUCUACGUGUCGGUGGUUCGAUUCCGCCUCGAGGCACCA